GACGAACGCUGGCGGCGUGCCUAAUACAUGCAAGUUGAGCGCUGAAGGUUGGUACUUGUCCCAACUGGAUGAGCAGCGAACGGGUGAGUAACGCGUGGGGAAUCUGCCUUUGAGCGGGGGACCACAUUUGGAAACGAAUGCUAAUACCGCAUAAAAACUUUAAACACAAGUUUUAAGUUUGAAAGAUGCAAUUGCAUCACUCAAAGAUGAUCCCGCGUUGUAUUAGCUAGUUGGUGAGGUAAAGGCUCACCAAGGCGAUGAUACAUAGCCGACCUGAGAGGGUGGUCGGCCACAUUGGGACUGAGACACGGCCCAAACUCCUACGGGAGGCAGCAGUAGGGAAUCGUCGGCAAUGGACGAAAGUCUGACCGAGCUACGCCGCGGGAGUGAAGAAGGGUGUCGGAUCGGAAAACUCUGUUGGUAGAGAAGAACGUUGGUGAGAGUGGAAAGCUCAUCAAGUGACGGUAACUACCCAGAAAGGGACGGCUAACUACGUG
rnacentral:rRNA from 1 species